rnacentral:rRNA from 1 species
AUUGAACGCUGGCGGCAGGCUUAACACAUGCAAGUCGAGCGGAGAUGAGGUGCUUGCACCUUAUCUUAGCGGCGGACGGGUGAGUAAUGCUUAGGAAUCUGCCUAUUAGUGGGGGACAACAUUCCGAAAGGAAUGCUAAUACCGCAUACGUCCUACGGGAGAAAGCAGGGGAUCUUCGGACCUUGCGCUAAUAGAUGAGCCUAAGUCGGAUUAGCUAGUUGGUGGGGUAAAGGCCUACCAAGGCGACGAUCUGUAGCGGGUCUGAGAGGAUGAUCCGCAACACUGGGACUGUGACCCGGCCCAGACUCCGACGGGAGGCAGCAGUGGGAAAUAUUGGACAAUGGGGGGAACCCUGAUCCAGCCAUGCCGCGUGUGUGAAGAAGGCCUUAUGGUUGUAAAGCACUUUAAGCGAGGAGGAGGCUACUGAGACUAAUACUCUUGGAUAGUGGACGUUACUCGCAGAAUAAGCACCGGCUAACUCUGUGCCAGCAGCCGCCGUAAUAC